CCCCCUACCAACUGUUUUUUUACCAUGGGCUUUAGCCGUUUAGGAGCUCACCCCACUCCCCGCAAUUUCUGAAACUAUUGGGAGCGGAUGCGGCGAGCGGUUCGGAGGUGAGCGGUGGUAGAUUUCGGCGGCGAGCGGACGGCAGUUGCGGGUGGAUUCGGGUGUGUGCGACGCUGAUGGUGGGUGGCAGCCUUGUCGGCCGGCGGCCGUGCCACCACCCGCCUUCACCCUCCGGUUCCUUCGUCGCGCUGGCGAUGGCCCGGCCUGCCUUGCCAUUCCCCGAUCUCGAGCUCGUGCCAUAUCCUGUCGUCGUCGCACCGGCGCCGGAACCCAUCCCACUUCUUUUUUUGUUGCGCACAACAGCAGGAGGUCUCCAUCUGGAGCGAGGCUCGCGGCCCCCUUCCUACGACCAGCGAAAGCAGACCCCGCGUAAGAUGCGCGGUUGUAGCAGCAAUAUCUAUUCCACGCCCCUACUUCUUCAACCAGCUGGACGAGGCUCCAUGGCCUUCGUGUCUUAGCUGCUACCCUCUGGACAAGUUUUUCUCUUUUCCUCUUUCCUUCUCUCCCUCUGUAUAUGUGUGCAUACGUGCGUUUAUGUUCUUCUUAUUAGUCAUUACUGAUGUUUAGAUUAAUUGGUGUUAUGCAGGAGGAGUAUUGUGCAGGAAGCUCAGGCGUCAAUUUACAUCUUAUCUGACCAUCUUAGAUAUUUCCUUAUUUCUUAGGAGCAUGUAUUGAUUUAUUCUCCCAUGGGAAGUAUUUGCUCCAUGCUCCAGUUUGGUCACAUUUAGGCAUAGCUAUCCUACAAGCUAAAUACUUGUUUCAAGCCGAGAUGUUCUUGUCCCCACAUUCCCCUCUGCAUACACAAUCGCCAGUGACGCCUGCAUCAAGGACGACGACUGCUUGGUUCUCUCCUGUAAGUAUACCUCCAUCACCCUCUUAUUUCUCUUCCUCUUCCUCGUCUGAAAAUUCUCUCCCAGGCUCCCCUCCUCAUGAUUCUUUUGUUGGGUUAUGUUAGAUGAUCGUAGAAUUGACAAGAGUAUUUUGUAAAAAAAAAUUGUUGUUUAGGCACCAUGCCACUGCUAAGAUUAUUGUCGUGUAGUAACUUCAAUAUUCCCCCCUCCCUUUUCUGCAAAAUGUGUAAAUGUAGUUAGAGUUGGGAAAACAUGAGAUCUUUGCUUCAAAAACCUGCAGGUACCUUUGUUAUUUGGGUAUCAAAGUUCAGUAUUAUUGCUGCUCUGAAAUAGUGUUUUCAUGGUGAAAAAAGUGGACCGCUACUGGAGAGAUACAAAUUUUGUCUAAUGAGUUGAAAGUGAUUAAAUGCACCAACUCUCUACGUUGCAACAAAUAAAGUGAUCCAAGGUAUUCAGGUUUCUGCUACCAAUGAGAAUUUACAUGAGUUUUGACAUUAACCUAGUGCUUAAUUGUUGUCGUGCUGAUUGUUUCUCUUUGGUUUCAGAAGCAUUUGUACUGUUGGACUGUUCAAAAACUAUUUGACUACGGGUUUCCAUGGGAUUACAUCUCAAUCUACCUCCUGUUGAUGCACUAUCAAAAUUAAUUCAGUAUUAUUUUUGUCUUUUUUGGGCUAAAACCACCCAUCCCUUGACUGUAUGUUCUUUCAUAUGUUUUUGGGAUAAAAUAUUUGCUUUUAUGUUGAGGGUCAUUAUUUUGCAGCUGAAGGUUUAUGUGUGUGUACAUAAUCGUAUAAAAAGUGUUUAACUACUUGUACGUGCUAGUUGAUUUUAUAAACAAUGUUUGACUUAUUAGUUCAUCCGAAAAUAGAAGAGGCAUGGACUCUGUCUCAAUGUUUACUUUCUUCUCAUAUGCUAAUUGUGAUCACCGCCAAAUAUUUUCCACUAAGAAACUUUGUUUUAACAUUUCUAGUUUGAGAAUACUCCCCGCUUCACUCUUUUGGAAAGAAUGAAGCAUGGAUUUUAUUUAUCCUAGAGCAGCUAAUGCCAGUACAAUUUAGUGAUUACUAUUUAGUUGUCUUUCAGAGUCUGUCAGUUUAUAACUAAAAGAUAAUGGAGCACCAAACUUAUGAAGGCUAAUUAAUUAAAAAUAAAGAAGAAAUGAAUAAUAUUUUGUUUGUAAAAUAUUGCAGCAUGCAUCAUUAUGCUUUUGUUUUUUUAUCAAUAUAUGUUCCAUGGCUUUAUGGCAGAUUUGAAAUGAUAUGCUUGCCUUUUAAGGUGUUACUAUGGCAGAGAAAAGGAGAGCCGAGAUCAAGGUGCCAUUUGGAAGCGAUGUAAACCUUGCAUGUAUGAACAAUUUCAGGUCUCAAUACUUUGAUAGUGAGGUAAAGCUACCUAUCGCCAACUUUUUGUGUUCAGAUCUGAGACAAAUAACCAAGAGAAAAGGAAGAAGGCAAGGUAUGUGCCCUGCCCACUAACUCCUAACGAGGUAGGGCUGCUGUUGGGAGCAUUAGGCCACAGAAGCAAUGUCCAUAUUUAUGCUGCUUGUAGCGAGGUGAAGAAGAUACUUUACCUACCCUCAGAGCACUCUUUCCAUAUUUCCAUACAGAAGGAUCAUUGUCAAGUAAAGAUGAGUUGACUCCAUUUGGGCACACUCAUCUCUCAUGACUUCAAUUGAUUUCAUUUUCUGCGAUAGAAGUGAUUCUGACAAUAAUGGCAACAUGGCCAGAAUACUUGCUAUUGCUGGACCAAGGUGAUGCUCUGAUGCUUCUGUUGUUUCAUUGCAAAUCCCUGUUAGCUAUAUCUCUUGGUUCAUUUUGAAUUAUGACAUUGCUUUUCGCUUGAGAUAUAUUGUCACAGAAAAAUGUUAAAAAACUCUACACCUUAUUUACAAACAUGGGAUAUAUGUCAUGGGGCAAAUUCUCAUCACAGGUGUGAGUAGUCCAAAAAGCAUCUAUGGGACAUUCCAUGGAAAUCAUGCCACAAAGAGGCGAAUUCUGUGCCAACCCUAUUGUGUGUAUAUGUGAAAAGACUAAAGAUGACCCCUGCAGUGGCGAAGAAUUCCGAAGAUGAUCCCACCAGGACAGAAGAGGUGAUUGAUAUUGGGGCCGGCGAUGAUUCUUUUGCCAGAUAGGAGGUUUCUGAGCUAGAGGAAAUCCUGAUUAGUUGAGUUAUUUUGCAGCUCAAAGAAAUUUGUUAAGUUAUUUGCGUACUGUAGUUUACGUGGUAUACUAAAAAUUCAGAGAAUUUCUGAGUU